ACGUAGGGGGCGAGCGUUAUUCGGAAUUACUGGGUGUAAAGGGUAUGUAGGCGGCCCUUCAAGUCGCGUGUCAAAGUCCAGUGCUCAACGCUGGGUGUGCGCGCGAUACUGACGGGCUUGAGGGCUGGAGAGGUGACCGGAAUUCCCGGUGUAGUGUUAAAAUCCGUAGAUAUCGGGAGAAACUCCAGAGGCGCAGGCGGCUCACUAGACAGGUUCUGACGCUAAGAUCCGAAAGCGUGGGGAGCAAACAG
rnacentral:rRNA from 1 species